rnacentral:lncRNA from 1 species
GAGCAGGGAAGCCAGGAGGUGUGCUCCGCUUUUGUGCUACUGGCAUAUGAAGAAACUGGGGCUCUGAAUGGCAUAUUAACGCGUGCAGCUCCAGACAGCGAGGAAGUGAUGGCAACUCUAUCCGAACUCAAAUCUGCCAGACCUAUACCAGUAGGUGCCUGUGUGCAGUUGGGGACUCACCUCUGCCAGUGCUGGCAUGAGCUAGCUGUCUUGAACUGAAAACAGACACUCAAAGAUGGGCUGUGGGAUCCCAGAGAGGUGGCAGAAUGGUCAAAGCUAUGAAGCCAACAGCUGCUGCCAACAAGAAAGUCCUGAGCCCUGAGUGAUUGUAAUUUAAACUUAAUGCUGGGAGUGGGUGUUUAUUUUGGAGGAGUGGGCUGCUUAUUUUUGGUUUGGGGACUUGUUCAUUCAUCUUUUCUCAGCGGCGCCUACUGCUGC